GACGAACGCUGGCGGCGUGCUUAACACAUGCAAGUCGAACGGAAAGGCCCUGCUUUUGUGGGGUGCUCGAGUGGCGAACGGGUGAGUAACACGUGAGUAACCUGCCCUUGACUUUGGGAUAACUUCAGGAAACUGGGGCUAAUACCGGAUAGGAGCUCCUGCUGCAUGGUGGGGGUUGGAAAGUUUCGGCGGUUGGGGAUGGACUCGCGGCUUAUCAGCUUGUUGGUGGGGUAGUGGCUUAACAAGGCUUUGACGGGUAGCCGGCCUGAGAGGGUGACCGGCCACAUUGGGACUGAGAUACGGCCCAGACUCCUACGGGAGGCAGCAGUGGGCAAUAUCGCACAAUGGUCGGAAGCCUGAUGCAGCAACGCCGCGUGCGGGAUGACGGCCUUCGGGUUGUAAACCGCUUUCGCCUGUGACGAAGCGUGAGUGACGGUAAUGGGUAAAGAAGCACCGGCUAACUACGUG
rnacentral:rRNA from 1 species